UACGUAGGGUGCGAGCGUUUAAUCGGAAUUACUGGGCGUAAAGCGUGCGCAGGCGGUUCGUUGUGUCGGCGGUGAAAGCCCCGGGCUCAACCUGGGAAUGGCCGUUGAAACUGGCGAACUGGAGUGUGGCAGAGGGGGGUGGAAUUCCGCGUGUAGCAGUGAAAUGCGUAGAGAUGCGGAGGAACACCGAUGCGAAGGCAGCCCCUGGGCUGACACUGACGCUCAGGCACGAAAGCGUGGGGAGCAAACAGG
rnacentral:rRNA from 1 species